UACAGAGGGUGCAAGCGUUAAUCGGAAUUACUGGGCGUAAAGGGUGUGUAGGUGGCGAAGUAAGUUAGGUGUGAAAUCCUCGGGCUUAACCUGAGAAUUGCGCUUAAUACUGCAUUGCUAGAGUACUAUAGAGGGUAGUGGAAUUUCCAGUGUAGCGGUGAAAUGCGUAGAUAUUGGAAGGAACACCAGUGGCGAAGGCGACUACCUGGAUAGAUACUGACACUGAGACACGAGAGCGUGGGUAG
rnacentral:rRNA from 1 species